GAUGAACGCUGGCGGCGUGCCUAAUACAUGCAAGUCGAGCGAACAGACGAGGAGCUUGCUCUUCUGACGUUAGCGGCUGACGGGUGAGUAACACGUGGAUAACCUACCUAUAAGACUGGGAUAACUUCGGGAAACCGGAGCUAAUACCAGAUAAUAUAUUGAACCGCAUGGUUCAAUAGUGAAAGACGGUUUUGCUGUCACUUAUAGAUGGAUCCGCGCCGCAUUAGCUAGUUGGUAAGGUAACGGCUUACCAAGGCAACGAUGCGUAGCCGACCUGAGAGGGUGAUCGGCCACACUGGAACUGAGACACGGUCCAGACUCCUACGGGAGGCAGCAGUAGGGAAUCUUCCGCAAUGGGCGAAAGCCUGACGGAGCAACGCCGCGUGAGUGAUGAAGGUCUUCGGAUCGUAAAGCUCUGUUGUUGGGGAAGAACAAAUGUGUAAGUAACCAUGCACGUCUUGACGGUACCUAAACAGAAAGCCACGGCUAACUACGUG
rnacentral:rRNA from 1 species